UCUACAACACUAGAUUUGACCUCAUGCAUUGGGUUCUCACAACAGAAGCAGCAGAAUGUGGAAAAACACUUGGAUUUUCUUGAGCACUUCCUUCUGGUGCUCUAAGAAUCAGCAGUAUGUACCUUCUACAACUUAAAUGCCCGUUGCCAACUUCAGCCUCCAGGAUGGAGCCCAGCCUCCAGCCCCAGUCACACCAAUGGUCCUAUCUGAGCCUCCCUGCAAAGCCCUG
rnacentral:lncRNA from 1 species